rnacentral:rRNA from 1 species
GACGAACGCUGGCGGCGUGGAUUAGGCAUGCAAGUCGAACGGUAUCAUCCUUUCGGGGGUGAGAGAGUGGCGAACUGGUGAGUAACACGUAGGUUAUCUACCCUCAAGACGGGGACAACCCAGGGAAACUUGGGCUAAUACCGGAUGUGAGCAACUUUUAGUUGUUUGAAAGGUGGCGUAAGCUGUCGCUUGGGGAUGAGCCUGCGUCCUAUUAGUUAGUUGGUGAGGUAACGGCUCACCUAGGCAAUGAUAGGUAGGCGGCCUUAACGGGUGGUCGCCCACACUGGGAUUGAGAUACGGCCCAGACUCCUACGGGAGGCAGCAGUCGAGAAUAGUCUAACAAUGGUCGGAAGACUGAUAGUGCGACGCCGCGUGAAACGAUGAAUCCCCUUUCGGGGUGUAAAAGUUCUUUUAAUAUGUGAGCAGUGCUUCUUAUAUUAACAGUAUGGGGAGAGAGAUAUUAGCAUAUGAAAUAAGCAAACGGCUAAACUCCGUGCCAAGCAAGCCGACGGUAAAAA